rnacentral:misc_RNA from 1 species
GAUGAAGAACGUAGCGAAAUGCGAUAAGUAAUGUGAAUUGCAGAAUUCAGUGAAUCAUCGAAUCUUUGAACGCACAUUGCGCCCGCCAGUAUUCUGGCGGGCAUGCCUGUCCGAGCGUCAUUUCAACCAUCAAGCCCCCGGCUUGUGUUGGGGACCUGCGGCUGCCGCAGGCCCUGAAAAGCAGUGGCGGGCUCGCUGUCACACCGAGCGUAGUAGCAUACAUCUCGCUCUGGGCGUGCUGCGGGUUCCGGCCGUUAAACCACCUUCAUAACCCAAGGUUGACCUCGGAUCAGGUAGGAAGACCCGCUGAACUUAAGCAUAUCAAUAAGCGGAGGA